rnacentral:rRNA from 1 species
GUGGGUAGUUUGACUGGGGCGGUCUCCUCCUAAAGAGUAACGGAGGAGCACGAAGGUUGGCUAAUCCUGGUCGGACAUCAGGAGGUUAGUGCAAUGGCAUAAGCCAGCUUGACUGCGAGCGUGACGGCGCGAGCAGGUGCGAAAGCAGGUCAUAGUGAUCCGGUGGUUCUGAAUGGAAGGGCCAUCGCUCAACGGAUAAAAGGUACUCCGGGGAUAACAGGCUGAUACCGCCCAAGAGUUCAUAUCGACGGCGGUGUUUGGCACCUCGAUGUCGGCUCAUCACAUCCUGGGGCUGAAGUAGGUCCCAAGGGUAUGGCUGUUCGCCAUUUAAAGUGGUACGCGAGCUGGGUUUAGAACGUCGUGAGACAGUUCGGUCCCUAUCUGCCGUGGGCGCUGGAGAACUGAGGGGGGCUGCUCCUAGUACGAGAGGACCGGAGUGGACGCAUCACUGGUGUUCGGGUUGUCAUGCCAAUGGCACUGCCCGGUAGCUAAAUGCGGAAGAGAUAAGUGCUGAAA